CCCGGGGUCAGCCCCCCGGAACGUGCUCCGGCCUGCCUCAUCUCCUGCCUUCAUCCAUCCAUCCAUCACCCACCCUACAGACAGCUGAUCGCCCCUGCCCGGGCCAGGCUGGGCGCGCGGGUGGAGCGCAGCGGGGGCACCGGCCGCCCUCGGGGACGGGCGUCAGGCACACGAACUACUAAUAAGUGAAUCUGGCAAGAGACAGGGCCCAACAACAGGAUGCGAACAUCGAUCAUAUCAGUAAAUGCCAGCAACAUAGAAAGAAACAUGCCAUUAGAACAGUAUCAAGAACAAGCUACAUCGGGAAGAAUUUAACAAAAGACGUGUAAAAUCACUGCACUAAAGUUACAGAAUGUGGCUGAGAGGCCGCGGUCAGGGGUCGGAGACUUGGGUUUGUGAGAUGUCCUUUUGGAAACCAAGAGCCGACUCUGAAGUGUACACGGGAACGCAGAGGACCUGGCGUGGCCAGAUGACCCGGAAGGGGAGCAGCGCUGGAGGACUCGCUGGACACCGUGUAGACCGGGGGGAAGAGUUCAGAACUGUCGUAGGUUAACAGGCCUGAGUAAAUCAUGGAAAAUCAUGAGCGGGCUGUUUUGGCUUCUGCAAAUCGCUCUGCGGAUGCAUCCCCCCCGUUCACUGCUCUGACUGACUGCGUGGUGACUGCUAAGACAUCCAGAUAAAAGCGUGUUGGCUCCCCGCUAGUGUUUUCAGAAGGCGCUACCCGGCUGUCUGGCUCCCGUCUCUUCGCCUGCUCCCUAAGCAGAUAACUUAGGUUGCAAACCCCUCCUCCCCCUCACUAAGACCCGGCCAAGGCCAAGCCUACGGUAAAAAGUCACAUAGUCACCACCUCGUGAUCUUAGGUGUUUAACUGUGAUUGGUCAUUUACAAGGCAAAGAACCUUAGAAUGAUAGGUUUCCGUGAAAACUGAAUUGUAGUUGGUUAUGACGCCUUCUGCCUGGCUGAAGUCCUGCUGCCUUUGUUCGGGACCGUUCUCUGCACUUUUCUCCUUGAGAUCAGGAGAUCGGGUUCGGCCCGGCCGCGAAUAAAAUGAAUAAAACCUC